CAUUGUGCAGAUGGGGAACUGGUACACAAGAGAGGCUAAGUGACUUGUUUAAGGUCACACAGGAAAUCUGAGGCAAAGCAGGGAACUGAACCUGGAUUUCCCAGGUUAGCACUCCACUCACUGGAAAAGCAUCUGUCCUAAGCAAGCUCUAGAGAUAAAGUGGUUUCACAAUACUCCAGCAACAUAUAAGAAAACUAUCAACUACAAAAUUGGGAGAACUAUUUUGGAAUAUAGUCAACUGCACAGACUUUAAAGGGGCUCCUCUAAAAGACACCAUGUCUUGCAUAUACUAAAAAUGCAAAUUUUUACCCUCCUAUGAUCUAGGGAGCAGAUGGAAAGAUAUUACUCCCCACUGGAGUUCAGCUCAAGAUGCAGUUAUGGAUUUACCCCUGCUACGGCAUGCAACAUGAAUCAGAGGGUUCAGGACAUGAUGCAUCACCAUUUCACUUAGAUAAGGACUGUAGGUCUGGCGAACACAACACAAGAUGUGAAGAAAAUGGCAGCCCUUUUCAGCAUCUGUAGAAAUAAAGGUCUAGAGAUAGGAAACAAUCGACGGCAAGUCAAGUGAAUCGGAGAGCUUCGUCGAACGCUGAGGCUUUGAGGAGGCAAUCGUCAAGGUGUCUGGAGACCUAAGGAUCGGAGGGUUGCCCUUGAGUCCUUCAUUGGAUGAAGUAUGUCAUUUGUGGUGGAAGCAAAGAGUUUUUCACCGUCAAAAGGAAGAUCUUCAAUGGUACUCUGGACCUCUCGAGGAAAGAAAGAGGAGGAGAGCCAUGACCCUCGGCGCAUGACCACUGCUGUGGCGGUCGAUCUUGCUGAAGUAUUGGCUACAUCGAGGGCCGCUUGAAGAGCGGUACGUGAUAUGAUUUGUCCCUCGGAAACCAGAGCUGUGAAUUGUUGUUUCUUCUGUUCUAGGAUGUCAUCAAUAAA